CAUUUUGAAAGCUAUGGAGGGAUGCCCUUUUUCCAGGCUCAGAAGAUGUUUGUUGAUGUACCAGAAAAUACAGUGAUACUGGAUGAGAUGACCCUUCGGCACAUGGUUCAGGAUUGCACUGCUGUAAAAACUCAGUUACUCAAACUGAAACGUCUCCUGCAUCAGCAUGAUGGAAGUGGUUCAUUGCAUGAUAUUCAACUGUCGUUGCCAUCCAGUCCGGAACCAGAAGAUGGUGAUAAAGUAUAUAAGAAUGAAGAUUUAUUAAAUGAAAUAAAACAACUUAAAGAGGAAAUAAAGAAAAAAGAUGAAAAGAUCCAACUAUUAGAACUUCAGCUUGCAACUCAGCAUAUCUGCCACCAAAAAUGUAAAGAGGAAAAAUGCACUUAUGCUGAUAAAUAUACCCAAACACCCUGGAGACGAAUUCCUGGUGGGUAUUCUGCUCCCUCCUUCUCUCCUUGGCAGGGCUCCUUCCAGGGGAUCCCACGGACUGUUCCACCGCACCGCAGACAGAGAGUUGAGAAGUUAGUCCAUUACUUCUCUGACAAAGCGUGCCUCAAGUACUACAGCCUUCCAGCAGCCUUCCCAGACCCACAGACCACACCCAGGGAAAACUAAUAAAGCCACAACGUAUCGAGGCCCGCAGUGAAUGCGCAAUCCAAGACAUGCAUCAGGGCAUUGCACAUCCAGAAGAAAGCUUUACACACGUCUUGCAACAAGAAAGCAACUAUGGUUUGGAAGAGCAGCCUUUUUCAUCAGGCCCACAAUUAACAAUGGAUGUGGCUAAGAGUACACCUUCUGAAGCAAA
rnacentral:sRNA from 1 species